rnacentral:lncRNA from 1 species
GUCAGAGGCAGUCUUGGUUCCUGCUGCAGUGGGGUAAGAUGGUUAUACUUUUGGUUUUUCUGUGUGUGAUUCAGAGAGCAGCCUGAAACUGCCAACUUGCAGAGGUACCUUUUUGAGGAGUGUGCCUGUGUGGGGAGAGCUUCCUGCCCAGGGGCUAGCCUAGACCUCAGCUAAUUCCAGGAGCAUUUGUGGACUAUUUGAAAGCAGAACUCCAGAAAUCAUUUUCUAGGAUAACACCUUUGUCCAUCUUGCCUCGAUUACAGGUGAGUAGCGCCCGAUCAUUUAGAGACAUUCAGAACACCAGAGGACAGGAACGAACACACACAU